UUUUUCACAUAAUUCUUGACUUCAUCCCUGGAACAAGAAGUGGGAGGAAAAAUGGGGGAGCAAGUGCUUGGCAUCUUGUUUGGCAAUAGCAGUGUUUAAAAUCUUACAAUUUGAAGUUUGAGGAGGAGACUGAUGGAGGAAGGGAUGGAAGAACUGCCAUUGCUGCUGAUUGUCACUUCAAAUCCUUGGGGGAAGAGUCUUCUGAAAGUGAAGGGGAACUGAUCACCUCUCUACAGACUUCUUGAGUCAUCUCACAGAAUUUAACAGAAAAUAAUUAUUUUGCUUAAAAUUGAUACAAUGUGGCUUAAAAGUGCUCAAAGAUAAAAGUUGUGUUCAUUUCCACAAUCUAACUUAUCAGCGGGGACAAAUUAACUCUCUGAAUUCUGUGCAA